UGCGGACUCUUAAACGUUACAAAGUUGUGAAUUUUAAUUUAGAUUGAGAAAGAAAAAAACAUUGAUAAGAGUAAUGGCAAUGAGUCAAAUUAGAAAAUGUAUUGUGAUGAUGUUGAUAAUAAUGAUGUUUACAAUACAAGUUGAAUGCAUUACUCCACCUCCAGAUUUUAGGCUGCCAAAGAGGCCCUCACCAGCUUUAUGUAAGACUAAAUGUUUCUUUCACUGCACCUUUUAUAUUUUUGCAGAUUGCUUUGGACCAUGUGUCCAUGAUUGCAAACAUCCACCAUAUUAUGAUGCUUCACAUAAUUAAUGAUGUUGCAGGUACUAGUGCUUGCGGGGCUUAAUAAAUAAGUCAUAUGUUUUAUAUGAUGCUAUUCAAUAAAUGUAUUGAUAAAUAUUGACAUUUUGUCAAAAUUAAAUAAAUAUAUUUUAAAUCAGGAUGUCUA